rnacentral:rRNA from 1 species
UACAGAGGCCCCAAGUGUUGUUCGGAAUUAUUGGGCGUAAAGGGUGAGUAGGCGGGCGACAAAGUCAAAUCUAAAAUCCCGACGCUCAACGUCGUGCCUGGGUUAGAUACUGGUCGCCUUGAGCAUCUGAGAGGGCGCCUGAAUUCACAGUGUAGCAGUGAAAUGCGUAGAUAUUGUGAGGAACACCAACGGCGAAAGCAGGCGCCUGGUUGAAUGCUGACGCUAAAUCACGAAGGCCAGGGUAGCAAACGGG